UGUGUGUGUGUGGAAGGGGAUCAGCUGUUAGAAAACAGGCAAAUGAAUAUAGUCAGAAAAUUAGCUUCAUGCUAAAAAGUAAUGGAUGUGAAAUGUAAAUUAUAUGUAAAAUAUAAUUUAACAAUAACUAUUAAAAUUAUUUUUCAAAUAAAGUGACAGACCAUCCAGAGGCUACUUACUGUAUUUGGCUGGAUAAACCAGCAUAGGCUAGGAAAAAAAAGAUGAUCCAGAAGAAGUGCAGAAGUGCUCAGAUUUCAGAACUGUUUCAGAGAAAGGAUGAAGGAAUAUGUAAUGCAGAGACACAGUGAAA